CUCUUGCGCAAUCAAAACAAUAA
rnacentral:snRNA from 1 species